rnacentral:rRNA from 1 species
CACUCCUACGGGAGGCAGCAGUGGGGAAUAUUGGACAAUGGGCGCAAGCCUGAUCCAGCCAUGCCGCGUGAGUGAUGAAGGCCCUAGGGUUGUAAAGCUCUUUCACCGGUGAAGAUAAUGACGGUAACCGGAGAAGAAGCCCCGGCUAACUUCGUGCCAGCAGCCGCGGUAAUACGAAGGGGGCUAGCGUUGUUCGGAUUUACUGGGCGUAAAGCGCACGUAGGCGGACUAUUAAGUCAGGGGUGAAAUCCCGGGGCUCAACCCCGGAACUGCCUUUGAUACUGGUAGUCUUGAGUUCGAGAGAGGUGAGUGGAAGUCCGAGUGUAGAGGUGAAAUUCGUAGAUAUUCGGAGGAACACCAGUGGCGAAGGCGGCUCACUGGCUCGAUACUGACGCUGAGGUGCGAAAGCGUGGGGAGCAAACAGGAUUAGAAACCCCGGUAGUCCCA